AUGGGGCGGAGGGACUCGACGACGGCGAGCUUCAACGGCGCCGAGAACAACAUCCCUCCCCCGACAUCGGGGCUCGCGAACCUUACGUCCCUCUUCGCGGCGCAGGGGCUCUCCCAGAAAGACAUGGUCGCACUCUCAGGAGCCCACACAAUCGGCCUAGCACGCUGCACAAACUUCCGGGACCACAUCUACAACGACACAAACAUCGACGCCGGCUUCGCCAGGAGCCGCCAGUCAGGCUGCCCUCGCGCCACCGGCUCCAGCGACAACAACCUGGCGUCGCUGGACCUGCAAACCCCGACUGUCUUCGAGAACGACUACUACAAGAACCUCGUCUAG
rnacentral:rRNA from 1 species